rnacentral:rRNA from 1 species
UACGUAGGUCCCGAGCGUUGUCCGGAUUUAUUGGGUUUAGAGGGUGCGUAGGCGGACUGUCAAGUCAGCGGUAAAAUUGAGAGGCUCAACCUCUUCCCGCCGUUGAAACUGGUGGUCUUGAGUGGAUGAGAAGUACGCGGAAUGCGUGGUGUAGCGGUGAAAUGCAUAGAUAUCACGCAGAACUCCGAUUGCGAAGGCAGCGUACCGGCAUCCAACUGACGCUGAGGCACGAAAGCGUGGGGAUCAAACAGG